rnacentral:rRNA from 1 species
AUAUUUAGAGAGUUUGAUCCUGGCUCAGGAUGAACGCUGGCGGCGUGCUUAACACAUGCAA